AGCUGAGGACAGGCACUCCUGCCUUCCACCUAAAUUUUGCAUUUCCCGAGACACCUUGGCCCGCCAUUCCCCCGUCCUGUGCCUGUAAAAACUCCAGGCCCUAGAAGGCACACACGCACAAGUGGCUGGACUUCGUGAGGAAUUCAUAGGGGAAGAAGAUGCAAGUGGCUGGUCAUGGAGAGGACUUUUUGACGAGCGCCGGCAAAAGAGCACAGCGAAGAAAUCCCAGGAUACGGAAAGCCCUCUGUACUUGCAACAAGAGUCUCACUGUGUCAGCCAGGCUGGAGUGGCAUGAUCUUGGCUCACUGCAACCUCCGUCUCCCGGGCUCAAGCAAUUCUCCUGCCUCAGCCUCCAGAGUAGCUGGGAUUACAGGUAUGAGCCUUGCAAGAAGACAUACAUAUUUUGCUGAUUGCCAAGGGGAUAAUGCAUUGGGUAUAAGAAGAAGGAAAGUAGAGGAACCAAUUAAGAAAUAUUUACUACAAUUAAGAAGAGAUGAUAAUAACUUCGACCAAGGUGGAGGCUAUGAAGAUGGAGCAAUGCGAAUACAUGGAGACAUGUUUUUGAUGUAGACUCAGCAAGAAAUUCUAAUAUAUUAGAUUUUAUGUUUUGGGAGAAAAAGAGACAUCUCCAAGAUUAUGGCUUGAAUAGAUUGGGACUAAUAGUGAAACUUGAGAGUGAUCACAUAUGGAGAUGAAAGAUUGAAAGACCUCUCGCUGAACAUAAUAUAGAAGGUCUAAAAUACUCUCAAGUCCCCUCCAUCUCAAAAUGACAGCAGUAACAGUGAAAACUAAACAUAGCUGUACCAAGGGCCUGUGUAUCUUACUUCGCCCUCCUUGUGAGUUGCCACUUCCUGUUCAUCCUCCUAUCAACGUGAUAUAAACACCAAAAUAGACCAAAGUAAUUAUCUGGGGAAUGUCCAGAGGGUGUUUACCUUCAGAAAAUUAACAGCUUUGAGACUAAAUCGAUGACCCAGCAAGAAGGUUCUCAUCAGUGGCUGACCAGAUGCCAGAAACAUGCCAUUGGAGUGCCCAGCCUUCAGAACAAUUUUGUCUUCUACCUGAGGAAGAGAGUGAGACAGAGUAACAUAUACAUAGAACAACAAGGAUGGUCGUGUGAAAGAAAAAUCAAAGGAACAGUGUAAUAGAAAGACAGUCGAGCUGGCACUCCAACUGCUGGAGCUGCUCCUGUCUAUCCUGUCAAUACCCAGCUGUGUUAUGCCUUCUCACUCCAUCAAAACAUAAAAUAAAUAAAAGAAAAACGUAUGUGCUUGUAAUGAACAGACUCUAAAAGGGCCUUCAAUUAUACUCACCUUUUUGUAUUCAUAUUCUUGUGUAUUCCCCUUCCUUUGAGCAUGAGUGGGACCUGUAACUUGCUUCCAACCAGUGGGACAUGGCAAAAGUAAUGAGAUGUCACUUAUACAGUUACAUUAUAUAAGAAAUAGUAACUGUCUUGCAAAGAGAUUCCCUCCCUUGCUGGCUUGGCUAAAGCAGGUGACAAUGUUGAGGAGUUCCGCAUGGCAAGAAACUGAGAGUAGCCUCCAGGUAGUAGGCAGAAAGAAAGUGAGGCCCUCAAUCUAACAGCCUUUCAGGAAUUAAAUUCUGCCAACAACCACAUGAACUUAGAAAUAAAUCUUUCCCCGUUCAGACCUUCAGAUGAGAACUCAGCCCUUUCUAUCACUAUGAUGGUAACCUUGGAGAAGACCCAACUAAGCUAUGCCUGGGCUCCUGAUCCACAGAAACUGUGAGAUAAUAAAUGUGAAUUGUUUUAAACUGUUAAAUGUGUGGCAAUACUGUUAUGCAGUAAUAGGGAACUAAUAUGGUGAUAUUAACUAUGUUUUGACACUGUGCUAAAGGUAUAGAAUUAAGCAAAUAUUAUAUAAUGUAAGGGACUUCUCACUUCCUUGUUAUGCAAAUAAUUUAAAACAAUACAAAUUAUAAAAUUAGUUGGUGCAAAGAUCUGUUGAGGAAAGUAAACAGCAGAAAAAAUUAUUUUAUUUGGAGAAAUUAAGGAUGCCUUCAAAGAUAAGAUAGAUCUUGAGGAAUAAAUAAAGAACAAAUGGAAAAAGAAGGAUGAGAAGGAACUUAGGGGUAUAAGUCAAAUGAAAAUGGACUGAUGUGAGAUCAAUUUCUCUUAUGUAUGGAAAAGGAAAACCAAUCAGUAAGCAAAGUGGUGUCUUUGGAAGAACACUUGUGGCAGCAGGGAAUGCAAAAUUGUACCUCAUGAAGAGUACCAUUUCAUUAGGUCAGCAUUAGGCACAUUUUUUCAUUGUUUGUCUCUCUUCCUCAGCUCUCCUGUACAUCUCCCAACUAGCAAACAUUCAUAUGUGUGUGAGCACAUACACACAAGCACAGUAACAACUGGCUUUGUGAUUUAGAAACACACUGGCUUUCCUCUACUCUUUUGAAUGUGUAGAAGAAUAUAAAGUAUCAGUUUUCCAGGGAGCUAUUAUAAUGCCUGGGACAGGUGGAGUAUGCAACACUUGGGAAUUGUGACAAGAGAUAGGUGUCAGAUGGGAAUGUCUCUUCCUCAGUUUCUGGAAGAUUGGACUCAUUCUAUAGAAAUUAGAAAGUCAAGCACUGGUAACUAAUUAGAAAAUAUUUCCUAGUCUUCUUAUCAAUAUGUUUAUAUUUAUAUAUUUUUAACAUUUUAACAGCUUUAUUAAGAAAAGCAAUGGUGGAAGACCUUAUUAGAUUGACAAUGAGAAAGACUAUUCUGUAAGCUUUUAUUAAAAGGUCUUCAAUUGAACCUCUAUAAUGUUAAUGAAUUAGUGUCAUUUAUUCACAUUUCUUUUUCUUUUUAGAGUUUUGUUUCCAUACGUAAACCUUGUAUAAUGCAAAUUUUCACUUACAGAGGGGUUACUUUUCUUCUUGAUUGCAGGGGUUACUUUUCUUUUUAAUGUUCUCUUCUUGAUAGCAACCAUGGCUAUCAAGCCAAUAAUAAACUUCAGGUUAUGGGAAAAAAUUGAUUUCUUUGACUUAUGUUUAUUUCAUGAGUAAAGAGUGAGAAGGCCAGGCUCGGUGGCUCACAUCCGUAAUCCCAGCACUUUGGAAGGCCAAGGUGGGCAGAUCACUUGAGGUCAGGAGUUAGAGACCAGCCUGGCCAACAUGGUGAAACCCUGUCACUACUAAAAAUACCAAAAGUAGUUGGACAUGGUGGCAGGCGACUGUAGUCCCAGCUACUUGGGAGGCUGAGGCAGGAGAAUUGCUUGACCCCUGGGGGCACAGUUUGCAGUGAGCUGAGGUUGUGCCACUGCACUCUGCCCUGGGCAACAGAGAGGGACUCCAUCUCAAAAAAAAAAAAAAAGUGAGAAAAUCUUUUAUCUGUGGAAGUGUCUUAGUCUUGAAGAACAAAACUAUUUGAAAUUUAAAACUAUAGAAAAUGAAAUAAUGUUUACUUUUUAUGGUUAACAUUUUGGUGGUUUUUUAAUCAAUAUACACUAUUUAUAAUUCAAAUUUUGAGGAAUUACCUUUUUAAGCAAUACAUUCAACAAAUUCAUAGGAAGACUUGAAUUACAAUGUUUAUACAUUUUACCCUGGUGCAUUAAUAAAGCACAAUUUAAAAUCAUAUGUUUCUUUAAGCAUUUAAAGAAAAUUAUUAGAAAAUGAUACUUGUCAAUAGAUGCACUUCCUUAUUUGUCAGCCUCUUUUAGAAGAAUACUCCUUAGAAGGACUCCAGGUGUGAUUUUUUUUCGGUGAGAAAAACAUACAAAGAAUCUUUGUUUCUGGUCCUUCAUCUGAGUAACAUUUCACUACAUAUCUUUUUGCCUCAUAUUAACUAUGUAAUCAACUGGCUUUGUGAUUUAGAAAACAAUGAAAUACCUGUUAAGUUUUCCAUAAAUCUCUUUCUGUAAGAAUUAUACACCCCAACUGUCAUGAUUCUAUUCCAUCGUUUUUCCCACCAUCAUGCCUACAGUUGAUUGAACCAGUUAAGGAUGUCUACUCCUAGCUAGACCAAUUAUUUUUCAAUUUGAAAUUUGGUAUAAAGACUAAGAAAAUUUGUAUUUAAUCUGGUUAGAUCAAGAAAAUAAAGAAACUAAACUCAGGAAACCAAGGUUUUUCAUUUGUAUAUGAAGAAUCACAGAGAACAAGCAUGCAAGGAAAGAAGAAUGAAUCAGACAAUGGAAAGAUAAAAGGAUGAGAGAGUGAAGAAGGUGUGCUGUUUAGGUUUCUGAUGGCUUUCUACUUAUUAGUUCCAAUCAUGGCCACAGUUAUAAGGAUCAACUGCUUUUGAUUUCCAUGAAAUGGCAAAAGCUUCAUCAAAUGCAUUUACUUAUUUUGCUUAAGCUCACUUCAGUUUGGUCAGAGGCGUUUCAACCAGUGCAACUCCAUGUUGAAUAGGGGCUGGGUAAAAUAAGGGUGAGACCUACUGGGCUGCCUCCGCAAAUGGUUAGACAUUCUAAGUCACAGGAUGAGUUAGGAGGUUGGCACAAGAUACAGGUCGUAAAGACCUUGCUGAUAAAACAGUGUGCAGUAAAGAAGCCAGAUGGCGACCACAGUAACCCCUGAUCGUCCUACUGCUAGGCUCCCACCAGCACCGUGACUGUUUAAAAUGUCAUGGCCAUGUCAGGAAUUUACCCUAUAUGUCUAAAAGGAGAGGCAUGAAUAAUCCACCCCUUGUUUAGCAUAUAAUCAAGAAAUAACCAUAAAAAUGGGCAACCAGCAGCCCUCGGGGCUGCCCUGCCCAUAAAAUAGCCAUGCUUUCUUCCUUUACUUUCUUAAUAAAUUUGCUUUUAGUUUAUUCUACAGACUAGCUCAAGAAUUACUUCUUGCAGUAGAUCCAAGAACUUUUUCUUGGGGUCUGGAUCUGGACCCUUUUCGGGUAACAGCUUCUUUCUGUUAUUUACAAUUCAAAUAGUCAUAACUGAGGUAUUUCCUAGUUCUCCUUCAAGUAGAAACAAAAUGUUUUCAUAUUGGAAAAAUUAAUAGAAUAAAUUUUUCAGAAACUAAAUGGAAAACUCAAUAUAUAUUCCUAAUACUAUAGACAGAUUAGAGAGAGAGAGAGAGAGACAGAGAGUGAACUCCCAAAAUCUGAGACAGGUUUCAAUUUAGGAUGUUUAUUUUGCCAGAGUUAAGGAAGCAUGCCUGUGACACAGCCUCAGGAGGUUCUGAUGACAUGUGCCCAAGGUGGUUGGAGCACAGCUUGGUUUUAUACAUUUUCGGGAGACCUAAGACAUCAAUCAGCAUAUAUAGGAUGAAUGUUGGUUCAGUCCUUAAAGGUGGGGCAACUGGAAGCAAAGGUGGGACAACUCAAAGUAGGGAAGGGGCUUCCAGAUCAUAGGUGUAUAAGAGAAAAAUGGUUGCUCUCUUCUGAGUUUCUGAUUAGCCUUUCCAAAGGAGGCAAUCCGAUAUGCAUUUACCACACUGAGAAGAGGAAUGACUUUGAAUAGAACGGGAGGCAGGUUUGCCCUAAGCAGUUACCAGCUUGACUUUUCCCUUUAGCUUAGUGAUUUUGGAGCCCCAAGAUUUAUUAGAUAGACAGGUUAAUUUGAGACGCUGCUGUGGGAUCAUACCUCAUUUUUGGUUGAGUUCCACAAUAUUUUAUUGCACAUAUAUUUUGGUCAGAAGGGAGACUCAGUAAUGAGAAAAAUAUUUCUGUCUUUUGGAAGCUUAAUGUAGCAGUGAAUAUAUAUGUCUGAAGAGAAAUAUUUAAGUGUUUGCCCUUAAUUUUUUUAAUGAAAUUGUAAUUGUAAUUUUGUAAUUUGGGGUAACACAUGGAACGAGUUAAGAAUGGAGUUGGGCUAUCCUAGGGAGAGUCUUAAAAGGAGAUUUAUCAGGGCUACCGCCUUGCUCUAAAUUAUUCAGUAAAAGCAGCAUUUAGUAUAUUUCUAUGCCUCAGAAAUAUUUUGAGAAUAAAUGAAAUAAUAUAUGUGAAGUUUCUACAUUGGAAAAAGGCAGUGCUAUGUGUCUGUAAGUAGGGGAGAGAUCUAGAAUUCAGUUUCAGGGACUGCUUUUCAUGGGCUUAACCAGGAUUAGUAUUAACUAUAGAUAUAAUUUUGUAUCCUAUUGCUGGGUUAUGAAAACUAGCAAAUAAGCAAAAUUGAUGUCACAGGUGGAAAUGAUUUACACUUGUAAUUGACACAUACUUCUGAUAACCUGCAAUUUGACAGGGAAAACAACUUAUUCAUAAACCUGUGGGCAGUAUAAUUUUAUAAUAGGCUGAAUGCUUUAAAAUGGAAGUGAAAAAAUUCUCUCUGAAUUUUAAAAGUUAUAAUUCAAAAGAAUUCACAAUGCCUAUGAACAAUACUAUUUUCUGUAUAACACCCACUUUGUCCUCAGCACCAUAUUAAAUGUGAUACAGCAAAAAAACAGUCUCCUUUCUCCUUUAAGGCAUUUUCAUCUCAGUAAGGCAUAACCAUUACACAGAUUCCUCUCUUCUUUUGAAAAAUGAGCUGGAUAAAACUGGCAAAUAGAUUUGCUCUUCUAUAUAUUGUUUCACUUGUUUGUUGGCAUAAGGUAAUGUUCAGAGUUACACCCAUCUCACGUGAGUUAGGCACAUGAAUGUAUAAGAGAGAGUGGAAUUGGCUUCAAGCAUGUGAAAAGAGACAACAAUAAAAAGAAGUGAAGAAUGAGCCAUCUAGAAGGUCCAGGAAGGAGAGUAGGAGGGAGUAAAUGUAGCCAUGAGCAAAGCUUUUAUUAGUGAAGCAUAAACAGGAAUGUGGGCAUAUUAUGGAAUAUCUGCAUGUCAUGGCAAUGAGGCAGAUUAAUGAAGGCUCUACAACCUAGAAACAAUUAAAUUUGCUAGAGAGUUUGAGAGUCUUGUAAAGAGAAAUUUCCUGUACAAAGGAGGUGGUAAGAAAAAGUAUUAUGAGAGUAUCUUGAGAGUUUUCUUUCCAUUUUAAAGAAUUAAGCCCCAAGGUAUUCAUUGCCUUAGGAAAGAAGGAGAAAGUGAGAAGUCCAAAAGUGUACCAAAGGAGUCUAAAUAUGUCUUGUGGGAAGAAAGAAAAAGCAGGAGAUUCAAGGAAAAAAUAAAAUGGCCUAGAACAACUACAUGGAGGGUGACAACUUCUAUAUUUACAAAGAAGUAACAAGGAAAGAUGAGUAAUAAUUGGGGAAUAAAACUUGGGUGACGGAAAAGACAAUGUUCACGUUAUUUCAGCAGGAUGUGUUUACCUCUGGGCUCCUAGAAAACAACAAACAAGGGUGAGGGGAGGUCAUUCAUUUUCACACCCAACUAGGAGGGUGGCAGAAACUAUUUCUAGGUUGUGUGACUCAGAGCAGCCAAGGCCUAGCCACUGAAAUUCUACCUCCUGAGCUGAAAGGAUCUGCACCUCUCUUGUAACUAGGUCUGAACUAGGUGUUAUGUUUUGUUUUGCUUUCGUUCUAGGUUAUAUUGUCAGUGGCAAUAAAAAAAAGUGAAAUAUUUCAUUGGUUGGUUUAAACACAGACACAUUGGCAGUAAUCGCCAUGAAUUAUAUGAUGAAAUUAGCUCUGUUCUCUAGCAAUGAGUAAUUUUUUCCACAGAGUAAAAAAAAAAUAAAUAAAUAAAAUGAGAUAAAAGAAACCGGAGAAAGAAACAUAAAAGAUGAAGCUUCAUGACCAAUAGGAAAGGGAGGAAGGAUGAAUGGGUGGAAAUAAAAAGAAUUGUCUAUCUCACACAUUCUAGGGCCUCUGUGAAUAUGUGUGGUAUAUUCACAAACAACAUCUGUGAGGUGGAUUUACUAAACAUGUUUUAUAGAUGAGAAAAUCUGCAAGGUAAAAAACAAUCUGCUCACAUUCAUAUAUCCGGUGGCUUUAUGCUCCUGACUUUUCAUACAUUUCCUUUCCAAUAAAUGGCUCUACCCUUUCUGUCUGGUAAAAUCAUAUUCAUAAAGCCAUGCUUGGCCCUAAUUUUCUCUGUGAAGAUUUCACCAACAUUUACCUAACAAUAAAACUGUUUUCAAUUAACAUAAGUCCAAAUUCAGAAAAAUAAUAUUGCCUCGAAUGUGCAACCUUAGUACCGCUGACCAAGACAGUUUUAAUUUCCCUUCAGCUUGCCUAAACUUCAGAGAAAUUUCUUCCUGACACUAGUCCCCUGAUUUCCCUUUUGUUAGAACUACUUUAGAAAACUUGUAAUUUGAAUUUUUUUCUCUGUCUCUUUUGUAAUGUACAUAAAUCUUCCAGCCUCUUGUUAAUUUUAGAACCCAAGGGUGUCUUUCUUAAGGACCUGGGAGUCAUCUUGUUGAAACGUAAUCAUGAAGGCAAAUGUGCUUCUAUUGCCUAGUCUCUGUGGGAAGGUAUGAACAUAACUUCCAUGGACACAAAUUAGCAAACACAGAUGGUUUAAUUACAGAAUGAAAUAUUCACAAACUCAGAGAUAAUUCCAUAUACUCCACAUAUCCUAUUGAUCAACCUCACCACACCCAAUAUCCUUCAGCACUUUUCCACUAGCUCACUCCAGAGCUUAAAAAGCCUUCUGCCUCUUGUUUCAGUGGAGUUAUAUUUAAUCUCUCUCCUCUAUUGUAAUGUUGUAAUAGUCUUGAAUAAGUCUUUCUUGUCUAACUUUGUCCAGUGCAAUUGUUAUUUGACACUGAAAGAGAAUAACAUAGAUGAGGGUAAUGGUAUUAUCCUGGGUUAUCAUUGAAGAGGGACUUAUUACUUGAGCACCUAUUAUGUACAAAGAGCUACACUAAAUACUUUUAUUCAUAAUCUCAUUUAGCUGUUAUACUAUUUAAUCCUGUUAGGAAGCUGUAGUCAUCCUAUUUUUUUGCAAAUGAGAAAUGAGCUGAAGAGAAAUUAAUUUAUUAGGUAGAUAUGUAUAGAUAUAGAUUAAUAUGUAGGAAGGUUAGGAUUCUAAUCCUGGUUUGUUCCCCCAAAACAUGUUCUUUUGUACAUUUUUGCAUACUACUUUCCAAAGUGUUUUUGCAUAUCUUAACUAAAUAUUCCUUUUCUAAAUCUUAUAAAAUAGAUGUUAUCACUCUCAUUUUGUAGAAAAAUAUAUUGGAGAUAAACUGGUAAAUAUUUUGUGUAUGGUACAUGGUGAUGGUCAAAACAGAAAGUUAUAAGCUAUAUUUUGAAAAAUUUAUAUCUUGGGGAUAAAUGAGAAUGAAACAGAAGUUACAGGUGUCAGCCAAGUGAAAGAAAAUAUGAGUAUGUAGGCUUAGGAGCAUUGAAAAGACAAGCACUUAGCUAAGCAUUGAAUCUUGCCAGAGAGAUAGUACGUUAGCAAAUAUUUACAUGCCUAUUACCAUAAAGUUAAAUAUAUACUAUUGUCUACUUUAUUAUCAUAAAGUUGUGUUUCUAAGCCUGUUUGAGUAACGGAUAAGAGAGCUAUUCUUUACUAUUAAGUGAUUGUUUUACCUGUUUUAAGGCUUACUGACUUGUAACCUUAAACUGGAAAAUAUUUGGUGUAGAAAACUGCAUUUGUAUGAAUGUUUGCUGAAGGAAACUAUUCACUUAAAGUUGUAAACUGUCUUUGUCACAGAGGUUAAGUUUGCCUACCGGUCUUGAUAAUUAGCUCAUUAUGACCUAACUAAAAUUGUUCCAAUUAACUAUAUUGGUAUAAAAGAACUGUGCAGAAACUGUUAACAUUAGGGAUAUUAGCUGAAGGCAAAUUCUUCCUGAUAAAAAUGUAUUUUACAAGUAAAAAUAAUGUGAUUAACUGUUCCAGUAAAAAAAACAUGGUGCAUUCAAGGGAGGAUAGUUGAGAAAUUUGAAUGGAGAGGCAAAUUACCAAAGAAGUGAACAGGAUUAGGGAAAACUAACCAAAGAUGGUGAAGCUCUCUGGUGCUGGAAGGGAGCACUUACUUGACUAUUUCAGAAUGAUUAAGAAAUGAGAGCAGUUACAAGCAUUCAGAAAGUAGUUGUAGCUGUGUGUAGUGCUACUCAUAGGAGCUAAGGUUUUUGGUAGAUACAUUCAGCUUAUCAUGUAGGCUUAUCAUGAAAAAAGAUGGUGAAAUAAAUAUCCUAACACUCUUCCAGCUCUCUGAUCUUCUGCUGGUGACUUCCACAAACCCAAUCCAACAAGAAGCUAGAGGGCAAGAUAUCAUAUUGAUUCAUCAGGAAAGGUCUGCAUCCCAGGGCACAGACUUGGCACAGGAGGUGGAGAGCAGAUAUGGAGCAGCAGUUCAAAGUCUUUUACUCCUGUCCCUCCAUAGCCACACUUAUCCUUUGCCCAGAUUAAAAAUCUCACUUCAGGGAGUAUGCAAGUCUUAUCAGCUACAAUGUCAUCAUGAGGUGAAGUCAAUUCAGUAAAAAAAUCACACCUAAGACGUAGUCAAUGAGCAAAAAUGGAUGGAGGAACUAAUUAACACAAUUCACUGUUGCUAUAGGUCCCACUUAUGUAGGUGGUCAAAAUGCUUUAACAAGAACAGCUUCACUCUUCCACACCCAUGCCAUGUUCUCUUUAUGUUCUGUUUGCUAGUAUCAUAGUUGGACAAGCUGGGGAGACCGAAUAUUUUAUUGCUAUAUGAUCUGAGUCCUUGCUUCUCUUUCUUUAUUGGGUCACUGCAGUUCUUCACUAAGAAAAAGAGUCCUAAGAAAGUCAUUCAAGUUAAUUUCCAUGGCUGGUGACCCUCUCUCUGCCUGUUGGUUCAGUGGCAGGAACAUCCUACUCACAAAUUACCAAGAGAAAUCAUCAAAUUUCAAAUUAAUACAAUAAGUAUGAUUCCUGGUGGAAACAAUUCCUUCCUUGUACACCCUCCAAAUGAACCAAGCCCUGAAUUUCAGGAAGGGGAAGUUUCAAAAAAUGAAUCUCUUAUAUGGGAUCUACUGCUACCUAUAACGGAGGCUGCUAGUUUAAGAAAUCCACCCUUUUCUAUAGGAUAGUGCCCCAACUGUACAGGGUGUUCUCUCCCAUCUGGUUCUUUAAGUGAACAUUCAUAUUGUUAUUCCACCACUCUAUCUGGUAACUUCUUUUGGGUGAUGGCACACAUGUAAGUCUUUAUUUCACAGGUGGGAACCCUCUAAACACUUUAUUUGCCAUAAAUGAAUUCUCUAUUUGGGGCAAUUUUGUAUUGGUAUAAAACUUUUCCAUGGAAAUAAAAAAGAAUGUUGUAAAUUGUAUUAGUCAGGGUUCUCUAGGGGGACAGAUGGGAGUUUAUUUAGUAUUAACUUCCAUAAUCACAAGGUCCCACAAUAGGCUGUCUGAAAGCUGAGGAGCAAGAAGAGCCAGUCUGAGUCCCCAGACUGAAGAACUUGGAGUCUGAUGUUCAAGGGCGGGAAGCAUCCAUCACGAGAGAAAGAUGUAGGCUGGGAGGCUAGACCGGUCUCUCCUUUUCACAUUUUUCUGUCUGCUUUAUAUUCACUGGCAGCUGAUUAGAUUGUGCCUACCAGAUUAAGGGUGGAUCUGCCUUCCCCAGCCCAAUGACUCAGAUGUUGAUCUUUUUCUGGCAACACCCUCACAGACACACCCAGGAUCAAUACUUUGUAUUCUUCAGUCCAAUCAAGUUGACACUCAGUAUUAACCAUCACAUAAGUCAAUAAAUUCUGACAUUAGCAGAAGUGUUGUGAGCAGUGAAGGUAAGUCAGUAUCUACUUCUUUAAUUCUUUUAGCUCAUAAGCUAUCUGCUUCUGGGCCAAGUCUUGUACCUCUGCAUCUGCCUAUAUUUAACUCUUCCCAAUUCUCACUAUAAGCCUGGGAGCAAUGAGGUCCUAAGGAAAAAACCAUCUCUUUGUGAGGCAGUUGUGAAAUCAUUGAAAGGCCUUCAUCUGGUAGAAAACAUGUUCUCUCAGCUUAGAGCAGCAGGAAAGAGACUUCACUCACAGUAAGAAAGAAUUUUGGAAUACAGCGUUCUUAACUUUCCUUGGGUAUAUUCAUCUAUCCCUGUCUCACACUUCAGGCUCCAUUUCUUCCCCUCUAGUGUCUUUACCUUAUUAUAAAAGACUUGGCAUUGUUCUUCAGGUGAUUGUAGCUGAAAUUAUACCUUUACAAUCAGACCCUAAACUUCAGCCUCAACUAUGUCUAUCCUUGGGCUAUAGAAAAUAAACCACUCCUUCAAACCUAGCAUAUAUAUAUAUAUAUAUAUAUAUAUAUAUAUAUAUAUAUAUAUAUAUAUAUAUUUGCUAGGUUUAGCGCAUAUAUAUAUAUUAGCAUACAUAUAUUAGCAUAUGUAUAUAUAUAUUAGCAUAUAUAUAUAUAUUUGCUAUUCUACCCAUGUUCUGAAUUAGGCAUUCAGGUUAUUAGUUUGUCAUUUUUUUCUCUGUAUAAUUUCUAGAUCCAUCAAAAGCAGCAAUCCAUUGCAAUAAUUUGUUUUAGUGACUGCUGUUGCAAUAGUGACUAAGAAUCACAGCUACUUGCUCUACCAAUGUCUGCCCUUCCACUUGUACAUCAUAUCAAACCACUACCUGUGAUAAUCCAUGAUAAUCUGUGAUAUCUCACUUUAUGCUAAGUAUUAACACUUUCUUAUUUUCCCCUGGCAAGGGAGUUAUCCAUGUACUUCUCAAAUAUGUGCACAGUCAAAGCUGGGCUUCCAAUCUUUGCAAGGGAAAGCCUUGACAGUGCCAACCCAAGACCUGGAAGGAAGGAAAUCUAGCCUCUUUUUCUGAACCUGCUCUUUUCCUGACUUCCAAAUUUAUGCUUGUGAUUUUAAUGGCCCAGAUCCAAAUUGAAGUUGUGUGGCAAGGAGCCUGUUGAUGUAGUUUAUAUGUCUGGAACAUAUAGCAAAGUAAGAUCGAGUAGAGCAGAUAUAAGAACUAGGCAAACAGAAUAUUCAGCACAUUUGCAGAAUACUUUAAAAAACAAUGCAAAAUCUUCAUUGGAAAUGAUGGUUAUAGGAGUUAAACUCAGGUUGUUUGACUAUGUCAAUCUUUUUCUCAUUGCCUAUGUUGUAAAUACCCAUUUUGAUAACUUUCCUACCUCAUUCUCAAAUCUCACUGCAGACCUUUAAAAUGAAAUAAUUAAAUAACCACUAAGCAGGACAAGAUGAGCUAGAAGUCAGCAAUAUCGUAGCUUUCUCUAGUUCUCAGCAUUCACUAUCAAAUCCAUCUUGUAUAUUUUGCAUACCAUAUUUAACUCAGGAAUAUAAAUGGAGAUAAAAAUAAAAGACAGUGUGAGUAGCUUCUUAAAAAGGAGAUGGCAUAGGAAAGUGGAUAGACUUCUAUUCUCAUUAGCACUUUUCUGAUCCUGUGAGAUUUGGGAAUUAUCAUCCAUUUGAAGCUAUUAAAAUUGUCAAAUAAUACCUUGCUAAAUAAAUAACUCAGUGUUUUUCUCUCCAACCCCCUGGAAUUCCUGAUGCAUCCAAUUCCCCUGAGAAGCCUGAGUUGGCAUCCAGGCCUCCACAUGUGAUUUGUAGGCCUUGAUGGAACAGGUGUGGGCAGAAUUGAAUCUUUAAACAUGUUAACUGUUUAUGCUCAUCUCAUUUGUCCCUUCACAAUGGAAAUUUGAGAAGCGGUGAUCCACCAUUUCUCUAUGUGUCCCACUUCUCUGUGUUCUCGACUCUUCCUUUGUUAUCACUAGACAGAUGUUUUUAUAUGCUCAGCAUUAAAACUUUGAUGAACUUCUCUGAAAUGCUACUUUAGGGAUAUAUACUGAAUAUAUUAUUAGUAUUAUAUACCACUAGAUGAUGAAAAAAAUCUAGAUUCUCCAUUGCUCUGUUAUUAAGAGCAACAAAAAAACAUGAGUUCUUUGCAAAUAAAGUCCUCAGCAAAAUAAUUUUGUAGCUCUUCAUGAACUUAUAAUGUUAAAUUAUUAAAAGCCUUCUUAAGGAUUUUGUACUUGAAUUCACUAAUAAAAAAGGGCUUGCAAGCAAUAGAGUGACAGCACUAUUUUAUACUUUAAUAUACACAAACAUAUAUGUAUGUAUAUAUAUAUAUAUGUGUAUCUAUAUUUAAAAUAAAGUCCAUUUUACCUCUUGAAGAUUUCUUUUUCUACUUAGUAUGGAGAUUGACCAAGAACCUUAUCAUUGACCCAUGUCAACCCUACAAAGCCUAUCCACUGAUUUCAUGCUCACUCCCAGCUGUGUGGCUGUGCUAUUAUUUUUGUUUUCCUCUCCUGCCUACACAUUUAGAUUGUACUCAUCCUUGUCUUUGUGUAUCAGAAUAUUCCAUUUCUUUCAAAAUACCUCAAAUCCUUCCCCAUGAAACUUUUCCAAAGGCUUCAUCUCCUUCUGAAGUGGAAGUUUUUAUAUUAUUGUUGCAGAACUUUCUCCUUAGUUCAGCAAAAACCGGGCUCUUGUCACACAGCUAGGAAAGAUUAGGCUAACAGACACCUAGAAGCAUGAGGAAAAUAGAAGUUACUGGGCGUAAAGGAAAUAGAAAAAAUAACUUUCAGCAAAGUGAGAGAGAGGUCUGCUAGCAGAUUUCCAGCCUCACAGACUGAAGCCCAGGUCAUCACACAGGAACAGGAGAGGCUAGGCUUCUCCCCACUGCAAACAGCAUGAACUUCCCAAGCUCCGCACUGUCCAGUGCACAGGUGGGCAUUAUUCAGAAAGAAUCAGUCAGGAAAGGGCAGGCAUUAUCUGGGACCAGAAAUCCAGCUUUUCAGCCUUCAGGGUGUUUUAGGCUUGAAGGCAGGGUUUCGCCAGGGACCCUUGGCUGUCUCCUGUCUCUAUCAUUCCCCCCUCUGAAAAGUACACCUGAUUGCCAUUAGAAUAAAGAUAAGGAAAAGGAUGAAGACUGAUCUUAACUGCUUCCUGCUGACAGGUAGCACUGUUUUGGGAAAAGAGCAGUCAGAUCUCCCUUAGAGGCCUAUCUAAGGGUUCCCAGCAAAAGGAACAAUUGAACCAGGCUCCGGUUGCAUGACCAUUUGGAGAUUGAUGGCCAGAAGGCAAGAAGAGACAAACUGGGUUAUUAGAAAACAAGUCUUAAAACAAAACAAGGUGGUGGGGGAGGUUAAUGACAGCUCAAAAAUCCCAAGACUUUUUACUAAUUUGCAUGGGUAGAGGAAGCCCAAAAGUGUGGUUGGAAAAAAAAAAAAAAACUUUUACUGUUCUUUAGGCAUGCCAGUCUUCUGGUUUCCCUUUCCUUGAGCCCAGUCCUAAGCCAACCAGUCUAAGGUUUGGCAAAUUAACUCUUUCCAGUUUGGAGGAUGCAUCCUAGGGGAGUGUGCUGUAGUAUAAAGACAUAAUUACCUAUCCAUGAAGGAGGACAGAGGAGAAAAAAGGGGGAAAAAGGCAUUUUUUUUCAAAGGAGUCCCGGGGUGCAGGAUGAAUUCAAAAGGUGUACAUACUGAAGACAAAUGGCUACUCAUCUAGAAAGAGAGGAGCAGGCCUCCCUGGUUCCCUUCUUUUCCUAGCAAAUACCCGGGGUACAUGAGGGAGAGAAAUCAAGGCAUCUCUCAUUCUUUAUUCCGUCCUUGUAUCUCUGAGUCCUAAUAACUGUGACAAGGUGCCACCCAGUAGUGUCAAAAUGAUGUUAACAGGGGGUUUAGGUGGUAAGAAUAUCUGCUCUUACCCACAUAUGCCCUAUCUCCCCUGCUCAGUACCUUUGAAUUCCCUGGACCUCAUUUAUGCCAUGGUUACUAGCAUGAUCUUUAUCCAUGAAAUGGGAAACUUGGCUUAAUUGACAGGAAUCAGUUAUGCUCACCUGCACUAUGCCUUUUAACUCUCAUUAUCAUCUACCUCUGAAUCUCUCAGAUCCAGUUUUUUGGAUGCAAAGCUUGGAAUUAAGUUUGAGACAAAAAAAUGUGUUUCAGGGAUUGCAAGAACUCCUUAUCAUAAACCAAACGCUAAGGUGAAGCUGUGGAAUUGAGUCCUCCUCCAACAGGGGAGAGAAAAAGAUGUCUUGUGACAUGCCCAGAUAACUGGUGGCUAUAGUUAUACUUGCUAAGAUUUUGGUGCAUGGGGCUUGGCUUUCGUUGGCUCCCUUGGUCUUACUUUUGCAAAAAGGCAUCCUCCAGGUGAUGGGCAUCCUAUUUAUUCCCAUUACCCAGCAGGAUUUGCAGGACAAUUGCUCAGAACCAGAAUAAUUGAUCCAGAGUUUUAUAUCACCCAUCCCUUUUUUUCCUUCUGAGCUGCAGUCAGAGAUUGCUGGUUGGUUCACAGGAAAAAGCAGGGUUAGUCUAAUGUGGGCAAAAGCUUAAAAACAGCUAAUGAGUCUAGAAUCAAAUGACAAAUGUAUAAUACAUUUUGAAACAUAAUUUCUCUCUCUCCAGUCCUCAUUCUGUUAAAAAAAUCAUAAUAGGACUGAAUGUUUGCAAAAUAAAUUUUAGUCUUAUAAUUGACCUGAUUAUUUGUGUAAAGUGCAGCAGGAAUAAUUAUUUAUACAUAAGCCUUUUAGAUUGGCUUGGAUGAAACUCUGUUCCACAAGGAAUCUCAGAUAAGACCAUUUAAAUCCAAGCCCAGCCAUGGGUUUGUAGCCUCAAAUACCUGUGAGUUGCAUAAUCCUCUCCUAUUAAGGUCCCAAAAUAAACUUGGAGCUCCUGUGCCUGUCAGAAAGUGACACUCUUUACUAACCCUAGGUCAGGAACCCUGUACAAGACCGCAUAGACAAGAGUAUGAUGCCAGUUUUCUCAAAGACUUUUUAUCAGCUCUGCAAGUCGAAAUUGACUCCUUAAAGGGAGGCACUCCCUUCUAGUCAAAGCCCUGAUAAAACAACCAGUUUCUCCAAUUGUGCCCUGUUGCAAAACAAAAUGGAUCUUAUUUCACUGAUGCAAACAACUAUAUUGCUAUAAGUUAAGAAUACUCACAACUAGUUUCCAAAUUCUGGAAAAGCCAGGCAGAGACAAAUAUGCUUCAAAUUUUGUUCACAGGAGUAUACAUUACUCAAUAAUUAAAGGCCAUAAAUAGUUCAAAAUAAAUUUUAUUGACUCUAAAAAACAAAACAAGAAUCAGCAAUAUUCCAAACAAAAGUAAAAAAGAUGGCUUCAUUUUUCUGUGAGUUUAGUCCAUUUAGUUAACUCUUGUUUAGCUUGAUAUUCGUGAACAUUUAAGCUCUUCAUGAGUCCUGUACAUUUUUCCUUUAUUCCAAUGUCCCAAUCUCCAAAGUUAUCAGAAACCUGUAUUUGAGAGCACGUGUCAGAGUUCUAUGGCUGAUUAUAAACCAUCUUUUGAAAAGGAUCAAAACAAGGAAACAAUUGUCUGUGAACAACAAAAUGUCCAAGGCAGUUACAGUUAGAAACACAAUUGACAAAUAAGUUUGGUUAUCUCUGUGGUUCACAAUAACUUAGCAUAACAACCUUAAUUAUGAUUGAUACCAUAUACUUUAGACAUUAAAAUUCUAGAAAUCUCCUACAGUUUUAGAACAUAUAUUAAUAUUAUUCACCAAAAUAUAACCUAAAGAAUAUUGAACACCACUUUGGCAAGUCCAUGUAACUAAACAUGUCAAAUAAUCCUGUUUACCUCUCUUGUGAAUACUACAGGGGCCCUCUGUAGCAGCCAAAGCUUGGCAUCAGAAAAGACAAUUUUGAAACUGAAGUUUGAUUUUGGGAAGUCUGAUAGAUGUGUUAGAGGUUUAAAACACUUCAUGUUAUUAAAUAGAAUUUCAGAUUACCAUAAGUUAUUUAUUUUGCCAAAAUGAUGACUCAGAAAUUUUAAAAAGCAAAAACCUUUUAUAACCCCUUACAAAUUUUGCUAAAAAGCAGAUUAGCACCUUAAGAAUACCUUGUUGUGCUUUUAUUUCAAUGCUCAAUGUACAGAAAACCCCUACUGAAUUUAGUCAAUAUGCUCAUACGUGGAAUUUAUUUUGCAAUAUUAAUUUUUACAAUCUUUCCACCAGUUGUUUGAAUUUAUAGCUUUAUCUUAUCUAAUUUAAAACAAUUAUUUAACCCUAGGCAAGAAUUUAUUUUUUUGCCUUUUAAUAAUCUUUUAUUAAAAACAAAUUUUACUGUUUUUACACACCUUGUAUGUAAAUAUAUUUCCAGCAGUUUCUAUUACAUGUUAUAACGGCAACUCCUAGCAAUUUUUAACUUUAAUGUAAAGCCUGGUAAGUUGUUUUAAUUGUGUUCUAGGUGCAGCCACGGUUUGAAUGUUUGACUCCUUUAAGCAUAAUUAAGGGUGUGAUUAGUUCCAUAUGUUCCCAGGUCUUACCAGUUGUUAGGCAGGAAGUCAAACAGUUCUCAAAAACCAAAAAAGUAGUUAAUAACCCCAAAACAUUUAGCAAACCUAGUACCUAACCUGCAUAAUUUAGUUCACCUAUUUACAUUUUGAUGACCUCUGCAUUUUACUAAUAAUUUUUAAGGCUGUUUUUAUUUUUCAAAGAUUAAAGUCACAUGAACUAUAAGGCACCGCAGCUUUUAUCUUCCCUUAAAAAAUAUUUGGUCCAAGCACUUAUUUUUCUUUAUGCCAAUUAAUUACAGCUCUCUUUUAUAGACAUCACACACAACCCAUAUGUAACUACAUAGACUGGCAGAAGAAAACCCAGUGGCUAUAAGAUUUUUCAUUUGCUAAUCUCCUAAUUGGAUUAUUAUCCUCUCAUGCAUACAUUAAGAGUGGCAAGACAAGGUGGAGAAAAAGAAUUCAGUCAACUGAAAAAGAAUCAGUCAACUGGAAAAAACUUGUUCCAACAAAACAAGAUCCCAGAAGAGAAAAACAUAAAGGCCUUUUAAAUAUACCUAUAACUUGAAUAUUUACUUGCAAUUAAGCUGAACACUCUCUAAGAAAAUCCUUUUAACUCUCUUACUACCCGACUUUAACUGAACCAGGAACCCAAUAUUUUUGUCUUUUAAACUUUACUAAUGGUAACCUCACAGGUUAAACCAACAAGCCUCAAUUAAGGUUAUGAUUUAACUGUGAGUAUAUGAGGUAUUUCCAAGCGGUGUGAGCAGUUCUUACAAAAUUUAGAACCUUUCAAGAUAACCCAGAGAAAAGAAGAUUUAAGAAAAAGGCUAGAAGUUGUUCAUAGAGGUGAAGAGAAUCAGCAAAUGGCAAUAGCUAUACAGAUAUCAACCUAAAGUACUCAUUCUCUAAGCCGGAAUUGAACCUAGGUGCCAUUGUAAAAUGGUGGAGGCUAGAACAAAACAUCGCCAUGUGGUUUCAGAUCAUGGUAAAACAAGAUGGAGGCCUGCAGCAAAGUUUGCUACUGAACAUACAGAAAGUUAGGCAAAGCACACUGGAUUUGCUUCAGUUUAAGACCAACCCCACAAAUCCUUUUUCAUAAUUAAAAUUUUACAGAGAAUAUAAACAGUGAUAGCUGGGGUCCUGCCCUGUAAAAUGUUUUCUAAAAAGAAAAAAAAAAGCCUCUCACAUAAAAGUUAACUUCUGACAGGUAGAGAAAAGGAAAAAAUAGUUAAAGUGCAGGGUUGGAAAGAUGCCUGGAGGAAGAACCUCUAAUUCUUAUGCCAAUGGGUUCCUAAACUUAAGAGGGGUUGCUGGGGAACCACCAGUUCACCAGUCCAUCCUGAAAAGAGAAUGAAAUGGCCAACAAUUCUGACCCCCAGGAGUAAUGUGGUCUGGUGAGGCAUAAUUUUCUCCACCCUCAGAAAAAGGGUGAGGACAAAAACAGCUUAGAAGUCAAAGAAAAAAAGAUGUUUUAGUUUAUAUGUUACCAUCCUUCUUCAAGCCCCAUGUCUGGAUGCCAAAAGUAUUGCAGAACUUUGUCCUUAGUUCAGCUAAAACAGGGCUUUUGUCACAUGACCAGGAAAGGUUAGGCUCACAGACACAUAGAAAGGUGAGGAAAAUGGAAUUUACUGCGUGAAAAGGGAAAAGAAAAAAUAACUCUCAGCAAAGCAAGAGAGAGUCCUGUUAGGUUUCCUGCCUCACAGGUUGAAUCCCAGUUCACAGCACAGGAACAGGAGGGGCCAGGCUCCUCUCCACUCCCCUCCCCCGCAAAACGGUGCAAACUUCCUGAACUCUACCCCCUCCUCCUAGUGUACAGGUGGGCAUUAUUCAGAAAGAAUCAAUUGGGAAAGGGCGGGUUUCAUUUGCGACCAGCAGUCUGGUUUUUCAGCCUUCAGACUGUUUUAGGCUUGAAGGCAGGGUUUCACCUGGGACCCUUGGCUGUCUGCUGUCUCUCUGGACAUUUUUCUGUGAUUUAAUUAUCUGAGCCACACACCGUGGUAUUUUAUUAAAUAAUGAUGCAAAGUAGUUUCAUAAAAUUUAGCAAUUUUAAAAAUCAGACUACAAUUUAAUGCUUAAUUUAGUGUUUCCCAGCCUGGGAAGCCUUGAAAAGGAAAAAAAAAAAAAAAAAGUUGGAGAUAUUAUUGCAUGCGAUUGGUACUAUAGGGACUACAGCACAUUACAAUGAGCAUCUCUGAAAUGCAUAAACUUUCUAAAGCAUCUAAAUCAUCAAUAUAGAGCUACAGAGAAAUAAGCAGGAUAAUCUAAAAAUGACCCUGGGAACUUACUAGGGUUUUCUGGACAAGAUAGCUUGGACUGUAAGGUCCAAUUUUCCUCAGAGACAGGAUAUGCCCCCAGGUUCAGGCUUUCAUCAAACUAAUGACUCUAUCCCUAUGACAAGGCCUUGCAAUAUUCCACAGGCCUUCAGGUCUCUGGAUGCUGGGCAGCCUAUAUUGCAGAUAAUGCCUACAAAGAGCUGGCACACUGAUCCAGACUCUUCUGCUUUGACAGCCUCUAAUCUCCUCAUUGGCAAGUCUACUUUCCCCCAGCUGACCUUUAAAAAGGGGGAAAAGCUGGGAGGAGGAAAUAGGUGUCCACACUGUAGGCGCUGUAGCAUCUGGGUAGCAGCACUCACCUCUGGGGGACAAUAAGGGAAUUAAAGAUUGUGUAACUGUAUCAUCCCUACGCUUGCUUAUCCUUGGGUUUUGUAAAAUUUCCAAACGAGGUCUACCCCUAAAUCUUGCUGUAUGACUUUGUGGCAUUUGUCUAGAAUUCCUUUUCGUGACAGGAAAUCUAGAGGGAAUCCACCAUUUAGGACAGAAAAUUAAAAAAAAAAGUUAAAUGUACAGUUUAUGUCGUAAAACCUGGUAAAAGCCUUACUCUGAGAGGAGCACCUUACAAAUACCUUGUGUUUGUAUGACAGAAUGUUCUAAAAAGAAACUGAUCCUCCAAACAAAUUUAUGGAGAAGUAGAGUAGAUGAUCACCUUUUUCCUGUCCUGGGCAGUAUAACUUGUUCAGUGUUGCUGGACAAAGGGGUCUUGAUCCAGACCCUGAGAUAGGGUUCUUUGAUCUUGCACAGGAAGGAAUGCAAGGCAAGUCACAGAGUUCGGUGAGAAAGAUAGUUUAUUGAAAGCUACUCAGCUACAGAGUAGGGUGUUCUCAGAAAGCAAGAGGAGGAACACGUCAUCUUUGUUUUAAACUCUUCUUACAUAGGGGCCUCAUCUGUGUAAAAGCUAAGCUAAAUUAGCUCUACUUGUGGGUGAGCUGACAACAUGACAAAAUUUAGUACUUUGUUGAUUUAAAGAAAGUUAUAUUUGGUAUUAUAGUGCCUAAGUACAUCAGACAUGACUAUUACUAUCUUAAAAGCAUGUGUUGUUAUGUGAUAUCAGGACAUCUGAACAUUCCACUGUCGUAGGAAUUUGUCCUUGUGGGAAAGCAUUACUAAACUGCUUCAGUAGUUGUAAACAUCUCAUGACCAUUGCUCAUGACUAUCAAGGAAUAUGCUUUGCUAGUUUUAAGAUGAUGUUGAUUUUAAAAUGAUGUUGCCCUGGCUCUCCUAUGGUCCUUUUUCCCUAACAAAAGCAUAUGCAUGCUCAGGUCACCACACUGCUGAAACCCUGUAAACGUCCCUCCUGCCUGGGUAAAAUAAGUUUGAGUUUCUUAGCUUAUGAGUGAGAGUUUCCAUGAUGUGGCCUUUGUCUAUCAUGGAAAAGAUCCAUGAUACCCAUGGUUUCCAAAACUUGCCAUACUCUUCCACAUUACCUUACCUUUGCAGAGGCUGAUUCUCCUGCCUUAGCUAAGUUCCUUUUCAAUGCCCUGACACUAAUUACGGAAUGCCAAUUUCUUCGUAACAACUCUGUUACAUUUGUAUUUUGGUCCAUAUUUUUUCUAUUUUAUGUUGUCUUUUUAAAAAUUAUGUUUAUUUCCCCCUACUAGAUUGCUGCAAACUUUGGAGUUCAUUGUUUUAUGUACCUGCCAUGUAGCAUAAGGCCUGGACCAUUGUAAAUUCUCAGUAAUGAAUAUUCAGUGUCAUUAAAUUGUAUUACUAUUAUUUUUCCUUUGAAGGAUGACAUAGAAACUCUGCUGGACCAAUAUCCUAGCUGAUAAAAGUCAUAGUUGAUACUUGAAUUUGCCUUUUUACCUUAGCUCAAAGAAGUUCUGUCUACCAUACUGAUAAUAUGAAUAGUAACAAUAAAGUUAUUCUUUAAAAUUUUACUUUUAAAAGAUGGAAUUAGAACAAAAAAAUUAAGAAAGGGUUUCCUUUUUAACUUGAGUCAGUCAAUUUAACAGGUUUAACAUUGAAAAUCUUAUAAAAAUUCAAUUUAUUCUCUGGUGGAUAUUUUAAACUUCCAUUUUUUUAAUGACAAAGGAUAGUAUUACUGACAUCUGAAUGUACUUACUUACCCUUCCUAAUGUUGUAAACAAAUUUUUCUUAGAAUUCUGACAUUUUAAUUAAUCAUUUAAUCGGGAAAUUAAAAAAACUAAAUGUAUAUUUUAAAAGGAAUAUUUAUAUUACUGGUCCUUUAAGAUAGUAUUUUUUAAAUUAUUCUUUCAUAUUAGUCUAAAAUACUCUCUAGUUUAAAUAAUUCUGGAAAUUAUACUAUAUCACCUUUUAUAGAUUCAUCAAGCAUAUGAAUAAAACAAAACAAAAUAGAAGACCGAAAUAAAACCAUUAAUUUGACUUAAGCCAAGAUUUCCCAAACAUGUUUGUCCACAGAACUUACUGUGGCAUUACAUCUAUUAAAAUCCUAUUUGUAUUUUUUUUAAAUCAUUAUUAUUUUGGUUUGUGGGGAAAGUUUGCUUAAUGCCAAGGGGGUGAAUAUUGUUUCACAUCAGGCUGGAGUGCCACAUCUUAUCCACAGGAGGUAACUAAUGCCCCAUCAAGGAAUUCAAACUAAAGCACACAAAAUCUCCCUCCCUUCACUUUUUAGAUAGUUGGUCACAAAGUUGUAUUUUUGAAAAACAAUUUGUUUAACACUGAUCAGGGAGUUUGUGACUUAAAAAUAAUAGCAAGAGCAAAUUGUGGGUUGCUGAUUAAUCCAAAUAAAAUAUUUCUGCCAAAUUACUACUCAAGAGACAGAUUCUAAAAUUCUAAUGUGAAAUAGAAUCAGUCUAUGUCACAAAUAAGGUGAAACAUUCCUGUCAAUAAAUCCUAAAAGAAGAAACCUAAAAUUAAAUUGAGCUAAAUUGAAAGAAAUUUUAUCUCAGGGAAAAAUCCUGAUGGAGUAAAGUCUGGAGGAUUCCAGUGGGGAGAGGAGUGGAAUGGAUGGGGGGGAGCCUACCUAUGAAACCCCAAGCCUAGCCCCCUAAUGGUUGAAACCAGAGUGGGGAUGAAGACGACGGUGAUGAGGGAUGGGAAGAGAACAAUCAAUAUCAAACUGUAUUGAUCUGACUGAAAUCUAUUAAUUGCACUGAUGAUUGUUCAGUUGGUCACUCUAAUUCUCCCCUUAUGGAAGUAACUACUUAGGACCCAUUUUAUGGCUGUGACAAAGAGUUUGUGCAAUUUUGUGGAGUUUGCUAUACUAUACUUUACUGUAAAAGCCUAGUUGGGCUGCAGUGACUGGAUAAACAUAUUUAGUGUAGAAGUUUUCCCUGAUUAGCUUCAAAUCUAAGGGAACUAAAUUUAAGUCUGUGAGAGAAGUAACCAUAUACUUGAAGUGUUUCUCAUGUAAUUAUAAACCUGUUGUCAGAGACACUAUCUUACAAUGUUGAGGCCUGUUUAGGAAGCACCCACUGAUAAGAGCUCAUCUACUGCUAUACAGAAUGAAAAUGUAGUCUCAUAGAAUAAAAGCUACCUGAACCUCUUCAUUUUUGUUAAUACUUAAUUUUUUCACUAAACCUUGUAAAGCUUCUAGAACUCCUGAAAACAACCAGAACAAGUUUGUUUCAUUUACAUUCUCAGAUAAAAUAUUUUGGCCUCUUUAAAAAAUUUUCCCUCUCAGUCAAGAGGAUUUUGAACAAAUCCACAAAGCAAUGAUAUAUUUUCAACACCUACAGAAUUCCUAAGUGUUAAAAUAUUUUCUUUUUCUGAUUCUCAGAGACUAUUUUGAAAGUGCUAUUAUCUUAGUGGUGAAUCAAUAUACUCAGUUAUGAGAAUCUCGUACAUUUCCACAAGAAUGCUCUGAAAUAAAAAUGAAUUUGUUGGAUGGAAAAUUGGUGUUUUUUAAUGAAGAAUGAGAUCACUGGCUUCUCAAUGGUAGUAUAAGGAACAAUUCCACUUAUGGUGCUGUUUUUCAAAGGGAAUGCUUCCCUGCUAUAGCAAAAAAAAAUGUAGCAGAACAGGGGGUAUGGCUGGGUUGAUCUGGUUUACAUCUCUCUAAAAAUGCUUGAAGUAUGCUCUUGGAUCUCUGUAAAAAUUUCCUUUAGAGAUCCGAGAUUGAAAAAGAAAAAGUAACUACAGCAUAAGGAGGAUGUUAACUAAAGGAUGUUGUCAUUAUAAAUAGGGUGGGGAGGGUAAAACUUAUUGAAAAGGUGACAUUUGAACAAAGGUUGGAAGAAGGUACAGGAGGCAACCACAUUGAUUCUGGGGGAAGAAAAUUCCAGGCAGAGGAAACAGCUCUUACAAAGUCUCCAAGGAAGGAGCAUGACUCAGGUAUUAAGAAAUAGCAAGGAUGACUGGAACAGAAUGAGCAAAGAUGAGAAUAAUUGGAGAUGGGGCUGGAGAGCAAAGGGAGUGGAGGUGGAGAUCAAGUCAGGCCUUGUAAAUCUCACAAGAACUUUGACUUUUAUCCUGAGUGAAAUAGAAUGCCAAUGGAGGAUUUUGAACUGAGGAGCAAAUGAGUUUUAAAAGGAUCAGUUGGAUUCUCUGUGAAGAACAGUAGGUAAGGACAAGAAUGUAAGCAAAUGACCAUUAGGAUGCUAUUGAAACAUUCAAGUGAAAAAUAAUGGUGGCUUAAAACAGAGUGGUAGCUGUGAAGAUGGUGUGAAAGGGCCAGAUUCUGGAUAUGUUUUGAAGGUAGAGACAAAAGGAUUUCCAGAGAAAUUGAACAAAGGGUGUGAGAGAAAGAGAAUUGUUGAUCAUAAUUCCAAGGUCUGUGGCCUGAGAAACUGAAAUACUAUUUGCAUGGUGGAGUUUCAUAUUCCUGAAUUCCCAAUUAAUGUGAUAUCCAAUUAAGGAGGUUGUGCUUUGGUGACAACUAGCAUGAACUGCUUUAAUCCAAUUUUGUAACAGUUUAGAAAACCUGAUUCCAGUUGUAUAAUCUUUUGGUUAAAUUUCACCCAAAGACCCAAAGCCAGUCUAUAGCACCUAGAAAAAUGACCCACUAACAUCCUAAUGUGACACCUGUAACUAUAAUAUAGGUGUGCAUAUUUGCCAGAAUCCAUCUACACUAACACUGGGCUGAGUACACCAUCCAGGAACGGCUAGAGCAGCAUCUUGCUUUGACUGGUGUGCAGAGGUAGAUAAUUCUAAGAGCAAAACACUGGCUUUGGAAUGAGGCCCAGGUAAGUUUGAAUUUUAGUUCUGGCCCUUUAAACUCAUCUUGAGGCUUUCAUCUAUAAGAUAAGGCAUAUAAUAUUACUUCCUCUGUUUUUUUAAAUUAUCAUUGAAUGAGAUGCAUACAUACUCUAAUAACUGCUGAUUCUCAUUCUCUGCUCAUCUUUCUCCUAACUUCUGAUCCCUGAUCAUGUGCUAGUACUGGUAGUCUGGAUGGUACUUGUAUCAUGUUUCACUGUCAGCCAAAAAACUCAUUAAAGCCUGCAUCCCUUUGUAUUCCACUUAAACUGUUCUCUUUUGGGUGCCUUUUGUGAAGUACAAAAAGUCUUCUUACCUAGACUUAGUAAAAAUCCUAUUUUAAAAAGUAGGUUUUCUAGUUAUGUUACCAAAGCUUUUCAUUUUUGAUUUUACUACCUUUAUGGUUUAUAUAGUUGUUCCUGUGUGGCUCAUGGCAAGAACUUACUGAACAUUAUCUGUUUUUAAUAAUAGUAACAUUAUUAUUUGACAAUUACAGGUGAUGGAAAUCAAAGUCUAUGGUGUGGCUCCCUUUAAAAGCUUAUGGCUGCCCAUGAGUUUAUGAGAACCUUUUUUUCACAAAAAGCCUCCAUUCCCAUUGUUGUUUUCUACUGUCAAUUGAAAAUGCCUGGAGAAGCCAAGAUGGCCGAAUAGGAACAGCUCCGGUCUACAGCUCCCAGCGUGAGUGACGCAGAAGACGGGUGAUUUCUGCAUUUCCAUCUGAGGUACCGGGUUCAUCUCACUAGGGAGUGCCAGACAGUGGGCGCAGGUCAGUGGGUGCACGCACCCUGCGCCAGCCAAAGCAGGGCGAGGCAUUGCCUCACUUGGGAAGCGCAAGGGGUCAGGGAGUUCCCUUUCCGAGUCAAAGAAAGGGGUGACAGACGCACCUGGAAAAUCAGGUCACUCCCACCCGAAUAUUGCGCUUUUCGGACUGGCUUAAAAAACGGCACACCACGAGAUUAUACCCCGCACCUGGCUCGGAGGGUCCUACCCCACGGAGUCUCGCUGAUUGCUAGCACAGCAGUCUGCGAUCAAACUGCAAGGCGGCAGCGAGGCUGGGGGAGGGGCGCCCACCAUUGCCCAGGCUUGAUUAGGUAAACAAAGCCAGCCAGGGAAGCUCAAACUGGGUGGAGCCCACCACAGCUCAAGGAGGCCUGCCUGCCUCUGUAGGCUCCACCUCUGGGGGCAGGGCACAGACAAACAAAAAGACAGCAGUAACCUGUGCAGACUUCAAUGUCCCUGUCUGACAGCUUUGAAGAGAGCAGUGGUUCUCCCAGCACGCAGCUGGAGAUCUGAGAACGGGCAGACUGCCUCCUCAAGUGGGUCCCUGACCCCUGACCCCCGAGCAGCCUAACUGGGAGGCACCCCCCAGCAGGGGCACACUGACACCUCACACGGCAGGGUAUUCCAACAGACCUGCAGCUGAGGGUCCUGUCUGUUAGAAGGAAAACUAACAGAAAGGACAUCCACACCAGAAACCCAUCUGUACAUCACCAUCAUCAAAGACCAAAAGUAGAUAAAACCACAAAGAUGGGGAAAAAACAGAACAGAAAAACUGGAAACUCUAAAACGCAGAGCGCCUCUCCUCCUCCAAAGGAACACAGUUCCUCACCAGCAACGGAACAAAGCUGGAUGGAGAAUGACUUUGACGAGCUGAGAGAAGAAGGCUUCAGAUGAUGAAAUUACUCUGAGCUACGGGAGGACAUUCAAACCAAAGGCAAAGAAGUUGAAAACUUUGAAAAAAAUUUAGAAGAAUGUAUAACUAGAAUAACCAAUACAGAGAAGUGCUUAAAGGAGCUGAUGGAGCUGAAAACCAAGGCUCAAGAACUACGUGAGGAAUGCAGAAGCCUCAGGAGCCGAUGAGAUCAACUGGAAGAAAGGGUAUCAGCAAUGGAAGAUGAAAUGAAUGAAAUGAAGUGAGAAGGGAAGUUUAGAGAAAAAAGAAUAAAAAGAAAUGAGCAAAGCCUCCAAGAAGUAUGGGACUAUGUGAAAAGACCAAAUCUACGUCUGAUUGAUGUGCCUGAAAGUGACGGGGAGAAUGGAACCAAGUUGGAAAACACUCUGCAGGAUAUUAUCCGGGAGAACUUCCCAAUCUAGCAAGGCAGGCCAACGUUCAGAUUCAGGAAAUACAGAGAACGCCACAAAGAUACUCCUCGAGAAGAGCAACUCCAAGACACAUAAUUGUCAGAUUCACCAAAGUUGAAAUGAAGGAAAAAAUGUUAAGGGCAGCCAGAGAGAAAGGUCGGGUUACCCUCAAAGGGAAGCCCAUCAGACUAACAGCAGAUCUCUCGGCAGAAACCCUACCAGCCAGAAGAGAAUGGGGGCCAGUAUUCAACAUUCUUCAAGAAAAGAAUUUUCAACCCAGAAUUUCAUAUCCAGCCAAACUAAGCUUCAUAAGUGAAGGAGAAAUAAAAUACUUUACAGACAAGCAAAUGCUGAGAGAUUUUGUCACCACCAGGCCUGCCCUAAAAGAGCUCCUGAAGGAAGCACUAAACAUAGAAAGGAACAACCGGUACCAGCGGCUGCAAAAUCAUGCCAAAAUGUAAAGACCAUCGAGACUAGGAAGAAACUGCAUCAACUAACGAGCAAAAUCACCAGCUAACAUCAUAAUGACAGGAUCAAAUUCACACAUAACAAUAUUAACUUUAAAUGUAAAUGGACUAAAUGCUCCAAUUAAAAGACACAGACUGGCAAAUUGGAUAAAGAGUCAAGACCCACCAGUGUGUUGUAUUCAGAAAACCCAUCUCACGUGCAGAGACACACAUAGGCUCAAAAUAAAAGGAUGGAGGAAGAUCUACC
rnacentral:lncRNA from 1 species